AUAUGUAGAUCAGUGGUAGAGCCUUUGCCUAACAUGCAUGAGUUCCUUGGUUCAAUUCCCAGUACUAUA
rnacentral:tRNA from 1 species